rnacentral:rRNA from 1 species
GAUGAACGCUGGCGGCGUGCCUAAUACAUGCAAGUCGAGCGAAUGGAUUAAGAGCUUGCUCUUAUGAAGUUAGCGGCGGACGGGUGAGUAACACGUGGGUAACCUGACCAUAAGACUGGGAUAACUCCGGGAAACCGGGGCUAAUACCGGAUAACAUUUUGAACCGCAUGGUUCGAAAUUGAAAGGCGGCUUCGGCUGUCACUUAUGGAUGGACCCGCGUCGCAUUAGCCAGUUGGUGAGGUAACGGCUCACCAAGGCAACGAUGCGUAGCCGACCUGAGAGGGUGAUCGGCCACACUGGGACUGAGACACGGCCCAGACUCCUACGGGAGGCAGCAGUAGGGAAUCUUCCGCAAUGGACGAAAGUCUGACGGAGCAACGCCGCGUGAGUGAUGAAGGCUUUCGGGUCGUAAAACUCUGUUGUUAGGGAAGAACAAGUGCUAGUUGAAUAAGCUGGCACCUUGACGGUACCUAACCAGAAAGCCACGGCUAACUACGUGCCAGCAGCCGCGGUAA